CUGGUACAGGCCUGGGGGA
rnacentral:ncRNA from 2 species